rnacentral:rRNA from 1 species
AUUGAACGCUGGCGGCAGGCCUAACACAUGCAAGUCGAGCGAGCGGCGGACGGGUGAGUAAUGCCUAGGUAUGUGACUGGUCGUGGGGGAUAACGUCCGGAAAUGGAAACUAAUACCGCAUACUCUCAGAUGCGGCCAGACUGGAUUAGCUUGUUGGUGGGGUAAGGGCUCACCAAGGCGUAGACCCCUAGCUGGUCUGAGAGGAUGAGCAGCCACACGGGAACUGAGACACGGUCCAGACUCCUACGUGAGGCAGCAGUGGGGAAUAUUGCACAAUGGGCGCAAGCCUGAUGCAGCCAUGCCGCGUGUAUGAAGAAGGCCUUCGGGUUGUAAAGUACUUUCAGCGGGGAGGCGUUACCCGCAGAAGAAGCACCGGCUAACUCCGUGCCAGCAGCCGCGGUAAUUC